CGGCUCCAAAAAAUUUUUAAAUGAUUCUCAAGUAUUACUUUUAAAAAAAAUCGGAGCAACUAUUUUUAUGAAUUUCGUAAUUUCUCGUUAAAAUAGAAAACUACAAUGUAACAACUUUUAGAUAAGAAGUAAAUUCAUUGACAAUAUCAUCAUUUUGCAAAAUAUCUGGCUUCGUGAAUUCUUUAUGUAAAACUUUGGGACCACGAGGAGUUUCUGGCAUAUUCUUACCAUAAGCCAUUAUAUCAUUUGUAACUUACGUAAAGGAGUAGUUCGUCUGUAUUGUUCUCUUUCAUAAGCUCCACUGUUUAAAAUACUUUCCUGAGAUCUUCUUUUCCAGUAAGCAGACGGUAUAAUCUACAUAAAAGGAUAAGGUAGUUGAGUAAAAUAAACUAUUUGAGAAAAAUAAUGAUUUUGAUAAAAAUCAUAUAGCGUGUUAUAAAAUGAAUUAAAUCAAUACUUACACGAGUAGUGUUAAUAGCUUUCGCAGAAGUUGCCCUAGAAAGAGGUGGUAGCGAUUCACCUCUAUCCAUUGCUUUCUCAAUAGAUUUCCUUUGUAUCAUCGAUAAUUUUGAUUCUUCC